CGUGGAGACGGAGCAGUGAAAUCACCGCGGGGCGACGGAAGUCCCCGUUGAAGAGUGUAGGCGUUGAGGAUGGCAGGCAAAUCCACCGUCCGAGCUGAACUUGAGAGUAUGAGUCUUCUUCGGAAGAAUCCAAUAGUGUGGGUAAUCAUACUCCCGAGAAAAUCCGCUAAGCUUAACCCAUGCGGCACCCGUACCGCAAACGGACACACGUGGUCGGGUAGAACAUACUGAGGCGUUGAGAGAUUCAUGGUUAAGGAACUAGGCAAAUUGACCCUGUAACUUCGGGAUAAAGGGUCCUCGUGAAUAGCGAGGCGCAGAGAAUAGGUCCAGGCAACUGUUUAACAAAAAUACAGGGCUGUGCAAACUCGAAAGAUGACGUAUACAGCCUGACACCUGCCCGGUGCCGGAAGGUUAAGAGGAGAUGUCACUCGCAAGAGGAAGCAUUGAAUUGAAGCCCCGGUAAACGGCGGCCGUAACAAUAACGGUCCUAAGGUAGCAAAAUUCCUUGUCGGGUAAGUUCCGACCUGCACGAAUGGUGUAAUGAUCCGGACGCUGUCUCAACCAUGAGCUCAGUGAAAUUGUAGUAUCGGUGAAGAUGCCGAUUACCCGCGAUGGGACGAAAAGACCCCGUGAACCUUUACUACAGCUUAGCAUUGACCUUGGUCAUCCGAUGUGUAGGAUAGGCCGGAGGCUUCGAAGCGGGAGCGCCAGCUUUCGUGGAGCCAUCCUUGAAAUACGGCCCUUUGGCUGUCUGAGGUCUAACGCGCGAUGCGCGGACACUGCUUGGUGGGUAGUUUGACUGGGGUGGUCGCCUCCAAAAGCGUAACGGAGGCUUCCAAAGGUGCCCUCGGGUCGAUUGGUAACCGACCUCAAAGAGUGCAAUGGCAUAAGGGCGCUUGACUGGGAGGCAGACAUGCCGAGCAGGCAGGAAACUGGGGCAUAGUGAUCCGGCGGAUGUGUAUGGAAACUCCGUCGCUCAAAGGAUAAAAGGUACUCCGGGGAUAACAGCUGAUCCCCCCCAAGAGCUCAUAUCGACGGGGUGGUUUGGCACCUAUGUCGGCUCGUCACAUCCUGGGGCUGGAGAAGGUCCCAAGGGUUGGGCUGUUCGCCCAUUAAAGUGGCACGCGAGCUGGGUUCAGAACGUCGUGAGACAGUUCGGUCUCUAUCUAUCGUGGGCGUGGGAGUUUUGCGUGGUGCCGUCACUAGUACGAGAGGACCGUGAUGGACAGACCUCCGGUUUACCAGUUGUGCCGCCAGGCGCACCGCUGGGUAUCUGAGUCUGGAUUGGAUAAGCGCUGAAAGCAUCUAAGUGCGAAGCCAGCCGCAUAUGAGAACUCCAUUGAGGGUCGUCAGAGACGAUGACGUUGAUAGGAUGCAGGUGUAAAGACAGCGAUGUCAAAGCCGAGCAUUACUAAUUGCCC
rnacentral:rRNA from 1 species